CGGGCUCCAAUCCCUAAGUUGAGCGAUUUUCUUUUAGCCGACAUUAGGGCUCCAAUCCCUGAGUUGAGCAAUUUUCUUUUAGCCGACAUUAGGGCUCCAAUCCCUGAGUUGAGCAGUUUUCUUUUUCAGACGUUAGGGCUCCAAUCCCUGAGUUGAGCGUUUUUCUUUUAGUCGACAUUAGGGCUCCAAUCCCUGAGUUGAGCGUUUUUCUUUUAGUCGACAUUAGGGCUCCAAUCCCUGAGUUGAGCAAUUUUCUUUUAGCCGACAUUAAGGCUCCAAUCCCUGAGUUGAGCUAUUUUCUUUUAGCCGACAUUAGGGCUCCAAUCCCUGAGUUGAGCGAUUUUCUUUUAGCCGAUAUUAGGGUUCCAAUCCCUGAGUUGAUCAGUUUUCUUUAGCCGACAUUAGGGCUCCAAUCCCUGAUUGAGCGUUUUUCUUUUAACCGACAUUAGGGCUCCAAUCCCUGAGUUGAGCAGUUUUCUUUCAGCCGACAUUAGGGCUCCAAUCCCUGAGUUGAGCGGAUUUUCCUAUAGCCGACAUUAGGGCUCCAAUCCCUGAGUUGAGCGAGUUUUCUUUAGCUAACAUUAGGGCUCCAAUCCCUGAGUUGAGCAAUUUGCUUUUAGCCGACAUUAGGGCUCCAAUCCCUGAGUUGAGCAGUUUUCUUUUAGCCGACAUUAGUGCUCCAAUCCCUGAGUUGAGCAGUUUUGUUUAGCCGACAUUA
rnacentral:lncRNA from 1 species